rfam:Plasmodium berghei whole genome shotgun assembly, contig PB_RP3249
UUUGAGGCUUCACUAGAAGCCAUUACUAGAUACUUACAAACAAUGU